GAAAACAAAAAAUUCUACACUCAAAAGGAGCAACCACCGGCCACAUCACCCAUUUUUCCACCCUCUUACUGCCGCCGCCAGCCCCACACUUCAAGUCACCGCCACAUACAUACACAGCGCUCCGCUCACUCAUUAUCAGUAUUUUCAUUUCAUUCAAUCAAAAUUUCCCAAAAAAGCAAAAGCCCAAAAGCAUCCUGAUUCAUUGGGUGAAGAAAUAGCCCCUCAUUUACAUAUGUAGCAGCAAUUGCUUACACUGAGAGCAACUCAGACUCAACGUGGGACAAAUUGAAAGCACUUCUAAUCUCAUGAUGGUCUUCGAUUUCUUUAGUUUAGUUUAAUUCAAAUUUUUUGGCGAGCUCAAAGUUCCUCGAAGGUCGUCGAGCCCCUGUUUACUGUUCCGGUUAUGGUCGUUUUCCGGUUUGGUCUUAUGAGUUGCAAUUUGAAUUCAUCAAUAAAGGUCGGAUUUCUCCAUGUUUAUCCUUUGUUAUGUGUUUCUUUAAGUUAUCCUACUGUUGAUAUUGAACAAAUGAAAUUCCUACUUUGAGUGUUUAUUUCAAUUUGUAUUAUGCUUGUGAUUGUACCGCCUAUGAUUGAUGAUUUGUUUAUUUAUGAAUUUAUUGGUUAUGUAGAUGAACUUGUUUUGUUUUUUAUGAAUACUUU
rnacentral:lncRNA from 1 species